rnacentral:rRNA from 6 species
GGGUUGUGAGGUUAAGCGACUAAGCGUACACGGUGGAUGCCCUGGCAGUCAGAGGCGAUGAAGGACGUGCUAAUCUGCGAUAAGCGCCGGUAAGGUGAUAUGAACCGUUAUAACCGGCGAUUUCCGAAUGGGGAAACCCAGUGUGAUUCGUCACACUAUCAUUAACUGAAUCCAUAGGUUAAUGAGGCGAACCGGGGGAACUGAAACAUCUAAGUACCCCGAGGAAAAGAAAUCAACCGAGAUUCCCCCAGUAGCGGCGAGCGAACGGGGAGGAGCCCAGAGCCUGAAUCAGCAUGUGUGUUAGUGGAAGCGUCUGGAAAGGUGCGCGAUACAGGGUGACAGCCCCGUACACAAAAGCGCAUGUGCUGUGAGCUCGAUGAGUAGGGCGGGACACGUGGUAUCCUGUCUGAAUAUGGGGGGACCAUCCUCCAAGGCUAAAUACUCCUGACUGACCGAUAGUGAACCAGUACCGUGAGGGAAAGGCGAAAAGAACCCCGGCGAGGGGAGUGAAAAAGAACCUGAAACCGUGUACGUACAAGCAGUGGGAGCACCCUUCGGGGUGUGACUGCGUACCUUUUGUAUAAUGGGUCAGCGACUUAUAUUCUGUAGCAAGGUUAACCGUAUAGGGGAGCCGGAGGGAAACCGAGUCUUAACCGGGCGUUAAGUUGCAGGGUAUAGACCCGAAACCCGGUGAUCUAGCCAUGGGCAGGUUGAAGGUUGGGUAACACUAACUGGAGGACCGAACCGACUAAUGUUGAAAAAUUAGCGGAUGACCUGUGGCUGGGGGUGAAAGGCCAAUCAAACCGGGAGAUAGCUGGUUCUCCCCGAAAGCUAUUUAGGUAGCGCCUCGUGAAUUCAUCUCCGGGGGUAGAGCACUGUUUCGGCUAGGGGGCCAUCCCGGCUUACCAACCCGAUGCAAACUGCGAAUACCGGAGAAUGUUAUCACGGGAGACACACGGCGGGUGCUAACGUCCGUCGUGAAGAGGGAAACAACCCAGACCGCCAGCUAAGGUCCCAAAGUCAUGGUUAAGUGGGAAACGAUGUGGGAAGGCCCAGACAGCCAGGAUGUUGGCUUAGAAGCAGCCAUCAUUUAAAGAAAGCGUAAUAGCUCACUGGUCGAGUCGGCCUGCGCGGAAGAUGUAACGGGGCUAAACCAUGCACCGAAGCUGCGGCAGCGACGCUGAUGCGUUGUUGGGUAGGGGAGCGUUCUGUAAGCCUGCGAAGGUGACCUGUGAGGGUUGCUGGAGGUAUCAGAAGUGCGAAUGCUGACAUAAGUAACGAUAAAGCGGGUGAAAAGCCCGCUCGCCGGAAGACCAAGGGUUCCUGUCCAACGUUAAUCGGGGCAGGGUGAGUCGACCCCUAAGGCGAGGCCGAAAGGCGUAGUCGAUGGGAAACGGGUUAAUAUUCCCGUACUUGGUGUUACUGCGAAGGGGGGACGGAGAAGGCUAUGUUGGCCGGGCGACGGUUGUCCCGGUUUAAGCGUGUAGGUGUGUGUUCCAGGUAAAUCCGGUUCACUUUAACACUGAGGCGUGAUGACGAGGCACUACGGUGCUGAAGCAACAAAUGCCCUGCUUCCAGGAAAAGCCUCUAAGCAUCAGGUAACAUCAAAUCGUACCCCAAACCGACACAGGUGGUCAGGUAGAGAAUACCAAGGCGCUUGAGAGAACUCGGGUGAAGGAACUAGGCAAAAUGGUGCCGUAACUUCGGGAGAAGGCACGCUGACACGUAGGUGAAGUGAUUUACUCACGGAGCUGAAGUCAGUCGAAGAUACCAGCUGGCUGCAACUGUUUAUUAAAAACACAGCACUGUGCAAACACGAAAGUGGACGUAUACGGUGUGACGCCUGCCCGGUGCCGGAAGGUUAAUUGAUGGGGUCAGCGCAAGCGAAGCUCCUGAUCGAAGCCCCGGUAAACGGCGGCCGUAACUAUAACGGUCCUAAGGUAGCGAAAUUCCUUGUCGGGUAAGUUCCGACCUGCACGAAUGGCGUAAUGAUGGCCAGGCUGUCUCCACCCGAGACUCAGUGAAAUUGAACUCGCUGUGAAGAUGCAGUGUACCCGCGGCAAGACGGAAAGACCCCGUGAACCUUUACUAUAGCUUGACACUGAACAUUGAGCCUUGAUGUGUAGGAUAGGUGGGAGGCUUUGAAGUGUGGACGCCAGUCUGCAUGGAGCCGACCUUGAAAUACCACCCUUUAAUGUUUGAUGUUCUAACGUGGACCCGUAAUCCGGGUUGCGGACAGUGUCUGGUGGGUAGUUUGACUGGGGCGGUCUCCUCCUAAAGAGUAACGGAGGAGCACGAAGGUUGGCUAAUCCUGGUCGGACAUCAGGAGGUUAGUGCAAUGGCAUAAGCCAGCUUGACUGCGAGCGUGACGGCGCGAGCAGGUGCGAAAGCAGGUCAUAGUGAUCCGGUGGUUCUGAAUGGAAGGGCCAUCGCUCAACGGAUAAAAGGUACUCCGGGGAUAACAGGCUGAUACCGCCCAAGAGUUCAUAUCGACGGCGGUGUUUGGCACCUCGAUGUCGGCUCAUCACAUCCUGGGGCUGAAGUAGGUCCCAAGGGUAUGGCUGUUCGCCAUUUAAAGUGGUACGCGAGCUGGGUUUAGAACGUCGUGAGACAGUUCGGUCCCUAUCUGCCGUGGGCGCUGGAGAACUGAGGGGGGCUGCUCCUAGUACGAGAGGACCGGAGUGGACGCAUCACUGGUGUUCGGGUUGUCAUGCCAAUGGCACUGCCCGGUAGCUAAAUGCGGAAGAGAUAAGUGCUGAAAGCAUCUAAGCACGAAACUUGCCCCGAGAUGAGUUCUCCCUGAGACUUAGAGUCUCCUGAAGGAACGUUGAAGACGACGACGUUGAUAGGCCGGGUGUGUAAGCGCAGCGAUGCGUUGAGCUAACCGGUACUAAUGAACCGUGAGGCUUAACCUUACAACGCCGAAG